rnacentral:lncRNA from 1 species
CAGAGGUAGAGGUCAGUGACAUUAGUCUUAGGUAACACCCAGUGCUCACUGCAUCACAUGCCCUCUGUAAGGAACUAUUUUUGUUGGUGGAAUCAUGAGCAAUGAAGAAAAAAGACUGGAAUUUGUUAAAAGGGAAAAGCUGGAAUGAAGGAGGAUCUGGACUUGGUGAUGCUCUGAUCCUCUCCGGUUGCCUUGUUUAACUGCAUGUUGCUGGAUGAUGACAGGCUGAUGAGGUUUCACACUUGAUGAGAAUCAGGUCAAGGAUCACAAUCUCAUGCGAGUGUGUGUAGUUCUAUCUCCUCACUUCUCUCCUGGGGCUUAAAUAUUAAGUUAUGACGAAGCCAUGGUAUUUCCGGACCACAUUAAACCUCUAUCUCUUCAUUCCAGUUCCCUUGGCUGACAACCCAGGGCACAACUCCUGCUUCCGUGAGUGCCUAAUACAAGAGUUGAAGCUCCCGGAGCCUUCUUUGAAAAAUGCCAUGCCUAAUGUUCUACUACAGAUGUUUGCCUUGAGUCAAAUAUGGAACUUAUGUAAAAUUAUACGUGGGUUGGUGCUUGCUGCAUGCCUCUCUCCAGGACUAACUGGCUUUCCAUCCCCAAACUCACCCUCUGCUGGACACACAUGCUGGAGACGUGCUGGAGAGACACUGAGGUAUACAGACGCACACACAUUCUCUGCCGGUGAUCGUACACAGCUGAUAACUUCAUAAGCAUUGGCUUUUUGCUUGAUAUGCAAAAUAUUUCAAGGCUAGUGACCUGGGAAAGACAUUUCUCAGGGAUCCUGCCAAUAGCUUUCUCUGCUAUUAUAAUAGAAAAUGAUAAACCACGAUCUCAUUUUCUCAUUAGUAUUCAGCAGCAAUAGAUGGAUACUAAAUCCUCACUGAAUAAUUUAGCUCGAAAUGUUUACCCUUUGAUGUACAAGUACAACAUAACUGGAAAACACCAUGUCCUGAAUCUAUUCUCAGAAGCUACUAUUUUAGUAUAUUCGACACUUUAAAUGCCAGAUUAGACUGAGAAACAAAACACAAAAAGCUUCAAAGGGAGUUUCAAAUUCCUGUCGGUGCGUUUCCUGUAGGCUCCCUACUCUGCCUCCCACGCCCACCCCAUCUCCAGUUUGCAGUUGCUAUCGAAAGCCUAACUGAGGAUUCCUGAGCUGCUGUUUUUGUUUUUGAUCAUGGUCUCUGAUAUUGGUGGUUUUCAGAAAGAUUUUAUUUCUUUAUUUUAGAUAGAGAGACGGAAGAGCAGAGGGAGAGAGAGAGAGAAUCUCAGGGAGACUCUGCACUGAACACGGAGCCUGACAUGGGACUCAAUCCCACAACCCUGGGAUCAUGACCUGAGCCAAAACCAAGAGUCAGACACUUAACCAGCUGUGCCAUGCAGGGACCCCAAGGAGUUUUUUUUGUUGUUUUUUUUUUUCUAACUCCAGCUACAUUUUUGAGAUCCUGUAAUUGAGCACUAGGAUUCACCACCAAGGAGACACUGAUAGACAUGUUGCAAUUAGUAGGAAUAGAAUGAACAAAAAGAGAUCCGGCUUCGAAUCUUGCCUCUGCCAUUUAAAAACUCCAGCUUGGACAAAAUACUUGCCUGAGCCUCCAUGUCCUUGUUUUUAAGGUGAGAAAAGGUUUCUGUACCUUAACUACUUAAGGUAGUUACUAUUUAACUAUUGUCAAGGUUAAAAAUAAGUGGCGUGGUGCCCAGUGAGCCCUCAGUGAGCCCUCAGUGACGAGAUGCGUCUGACCAGGCAAUGAGCACUGUUCCUUUCACCUUGCUCCCUCCUUGACCUUCAUCAGGAAAAUUUUGUGAUUUCAGUUCCCUCUCCCCGCUCCUGGAUUUCUCAUUCGGGAAUUGAUGCUCAAAACUGUGAUGUGCUGAUGGAAGGUCCUGGACCAUUUUUCCUGUUCUUCUGUAUAGUGAUAAAUGGAACAUAUUAUUGAAAUAAACUGACUAUUAUUAUAGCA